GAGGGUUAGUUUAACAAAAACAAUUAAUUUCGACUUAAUAACUUCUGAUUCUCACCAGAACCCUUAAC
rnacentral:tRNA from 1 species